UGCUUCCAGCUUCCCCUCCUGCUCUGCUUCGCUCCCCGCUGUUCGCUCCGGUUCGAACGCCUCAAGGAAUCAUUUCAAGGAUCCAUCCAUCGAUUCGCUACGUUCAGGUGCGGAAGAAGAUGAACUCUGCUACAGUUGGCCUAUGCGUUGCCUCCAUGCUCGUUUCGAUCGUCGCCUCCCUCACCACAACAGCGGUCCAGUCCCUCGAACAAGAUCCCCUCAUGAGAUGCUUCGCUCUAGCACUCUGCGUGGCUCUCCACGGCGCUGUUGCGCUCAUCGUCCGCGGCGUGCGCCGGCCGUGAGCCGGCGGCCGGCCCACAGCGCCGGCGUGGCCGCCUCUUUUGCACUUGGGUCACAAUCUGUUCGUCGGGCCAGCCUUAUUGUUGAGAUAGUUCGAUCAGCUCUUCGCUUGGCUGAUAAGCCAUGAUAGAAAGUACGAUAGAAUUAGCUGAUAAGUUGAUCAAGCGAACAAGUUGGCGCCUCUGGUCUAAGCUGGCUUUGGCAGGUGGAAUUCUUUUGAGUUACCUGUCUAACUAGCGUUGUUUAUGUCCGUGUCGAUGCUGAUUUAACUGUUAACCUCAAGAGAAUUCCGCUUUCUGAAAGCCACACUAGCGGAGCACCGUCUGACCGGGGUGCCGAACCUUGAGCAAAUUAGAGAUGGCAAACUAGUAAGGUUGUUUAUUGCUGUGUGCUUUUUGUGCCU